GUGAUGGGGUGGUGGUGGUGACUUGUACUUGUACACUGGGGUGGGUGGGUGGUAGGGCUUCUCGUGAUGAGGUGGUGGUGGAGAUUUGUACUUGUACACCGGGGUUGGUGGUGGUGGUGACUUGUACUUGUACACCGGGGUGGGUGGUGGUGGAGACUUGUACUUGUACACCGGGGUAGGUGGGUGGUAAGGCUUCUCGUGGUGAGGAGGUGGUGGUGACUUAUACUUGUACACCGGUGUAGGUGGUGGUGGUGAUUUGUAGUGGUAAGGAGGAGAAACCGGCACUGGGUGGUAUUUCUUGGGAGGUGGUGGAGAUGUGUAGGCGUAGUUAGCACUGGUUUCUGAUGGGAAGCUUAGAGAGACUAGUGCUACUAUGAGAGCAGUCACUAAAAGGGUUGUUGGUGACCCCAUUUUGCCCAUCUUUAGGAGAUAGAGAAGAGAAGGAAGGUUUGGUAAUGCCUAUUGAUCAACCGGCACACCCUUUAUAUAGCUUUUGUCUUUACUCUAUGGUAAAAUAAAAUCACAACAAUUUGACAUUAAUCACCCUCAUCUUAGUAAACUAAUAUCAAUAAUAAUAACUAAUAGUAAUCAUAAAAUAAGGCAUAUGGGAAAGAUUUAUUUUUAUUAAAUAUAUAUUAUUUUUUUGGGGACCUUGACUUGGUUUUGUUUUUUUGUUUUUGGAUCUUGUCAUAAUAUACAUGGCUGCUAGCUAGGCAAGCAAAACAGAUCAGCAAAAGAAUAAUAUAUUUAUAUUUAUAUAUAAUUGAUAUUUUCAUGAUAAUGAAGCAUUGAUUGAAAUUAUAGGGUGUGGCCGCCCCUAACUUUACAAAUUUUUGGGCUAUUGCAGGACCCGGCGGCUAUGACUUAAUACUUUCUCUUUCUCUCCAGUCUAUCUGUUUACUUUGUCUUAGUCACAUUUAUUUUUUUGCAUGGCUAUAUGUAAUAAUAAACUCUAUAUAGUUACUUGAAUUUCUUUUGAAAAUAAAAACAAAAUGAGAAGGAGAAUGGUAGAGAAAACCUCUGUCCAUUUAUUCUCUUUUGACUAUU